UGCGGCAACGCAAAUGAAUUUGGAGACAUCAGUGUGGAUCCCAGGAAGAGUUCUCUUUUCUUUUUAACAGCCUGUGUUUGCCAUGAAAUCAGUUUAGCUGGAGAAAUGGCUAACCGGUUGGUAGAGCAUCGUACUUUUUGCGGUGUCUGGUGCAUUCACAACGAUCCUUGAAAAUCCAAAGGAAAGAUUAA
rnacentral:ncRNA from 1 species